GAUGAACGCUGGCGGCGUGCCUAAUACAUGCAAGUCGAGCGAACAGACGAGGAGCUUGCUCCUCUGACGUUAGCGACGGACGGGUGAGUAACACGUGGAUAACCUACCUAUAAGACUGGGAUAACUUCGGGAAACCGGAGCUAAUACCGGAUAAUAUAUUGAACCGCAUGGUUCAAUAGUGAAAGACGGUUUUGCUGUUACUUAUAGAUGGAUCCGCGCCGCAUUAGCUAGUUGGUAAGGUAACGGCUUACCAAGGCAACGAUGCGUAGCCGACCUGAGAGGGUGAUCGGCCACACUGGAACUGAGACACGGUCCAGACUCCUACGGGAGGCAGCAGUAGGGAAUCUUCCGCAAUGGGCGAAAGCCUGACGGAGCAACGCCGCGUGAGUGAUGAAGGUCUUCGGAUCGUAAAACUCUGUUAUUAGGGAAGAACAAAUGUGUAAGUAACUAUGCACGUCUUGACGGUACCUAAUCAGAAAGCCACGGCUAACUACGUG
rnacentral:rRNA from 1 species